CCAUACCAGAAGAUAUCAAACAUCUUACGAUGUGGUCUGUUACAGAACACGUGGUCUUGGUUUUUCAGAAUCUCGCGUGCUGCUUCAGUGUUUGAGACCACAAGAACUGGCACCUUCCCAAAGUAAAGCAUCACUAGAGGGCCAUAGGUUUGAGCAAAGGAUUGGAGAGUGUGGUGAGUGAGGUUGCCAAGUUGGUGUAGGUUUCCUAUUAUUGGAAGCUUUGGAGGAGAUGGAGGUAGCUUUUUUGCUGAUUUGGAAUUCAGUUUGGAUAGAAGAUUGAAUAUGGUGGGAAAGGCUAGCAAGAUGAAGAAUGCUAGCAUGGGAAUGAAGAACCACAAGGAAAUGGUUCCAUUCAGAAAAUUCGUCAUUGGCUUCUACUUCAAGAUUAUGUUCAGUCGUGGAUUUUGUAAUAAUGUGCUGUAAUGUGUUGGCUUGUUUCACAAGGGAUACAUAUAUUGCUAAAAAAAGUCAUGAUGGGAAGUUGAAUAAAGAUGCGGAGCACUUGGGACCAUAAGAUUGACUUUAUGCUUCUCCCAAUCUAUCAAUGAGAUAUGUAACUCACUCCGAGUAUGUAACCAAUCAUGAAAGAUAUAUAAGCAUGUCACUUUAGUUUAGUAAAGAUAAAAGAAAUUUUAUACUCGAUUUUAUAAAGGUGGAGUUAAAUUUAAAUUCAGUCUAGCGAAAGUUAGUUGAAUUUAUCACUAUCGAACUAUCCAUAAAUAUAUAAUUUCACACACGAGUUGAUAGUCUCAGCACGAUAAGGUAUAUUAAAGAUUACACAUCGACUAGAUAUAAAAAUAUUUUAUAAUAUAUAAUAUUUACAAACCUUAACUUUGAACCCGUUUUAUAAGUUUAAAUUACACUUCAAGUUCACUUAAUAAAUAUUUUUAUGAAGUAAAUUAAUGUUAUUUUAUCAACAUAAUCUCCCUUCCUUAAACAUUUAGGUCUUCAUCAUGUCUACUCACAUAAAUAUAAUGAAAUUAUUAAAUAAAGAUGGAUGAAUUAUUCCUUUUGUGAAUAGUCUUUUUGUUGCCUAAAGAAUAUAUGUAUUAAUAAACAUAACACGUAAAGAGUAUUUAACCCUUUUAUACAUGUUUUAUGUAACAUCCCAUAAAAUACAUCUAACUAUUACAAUACAAUUAGUUCUACAGAUUUUUACACAAACUUUUUAAAAAUAUUUCUAUUCUAAGAUGUUUACUUAUAGAAAUACAAAUAUUAACAAUAUAAGAUUUAAAAACUACAUCUUAAAGCCCUCCAGAACCUCCGACACAUAUACGAUCAUCUGCUCAUGUACAUAAUACAGUCAUCGCAGUUCACAACACAUUAAGCUAGUGAAAAUAAAGUUUUAUAAUAUACACGAUUAAAUCAAAAGAGAAAACCAAAUUACAUGGAUCAAUUUAUCAAUUAUUCAAUCUUCUUCAAAUCCCAACAUAAAACAAUCACAUAAAUCUCACAUGGAUCUACACAUCCAUGAUAUUCAACAAACAACGUCUUCCGGAAGAUCCAUAUUAAGUAAGUCCUACCAGAGACUAACACCUGAUCCAAAAAUUACCAAGAAAUCCAAGAGAAAUGAUUAGGGUAAGUUCAAUACAAUCCAAGUCGUGUAUCUCAUAUGUCACGAUGUACAUGAAAUCCUCCAUCAGCUUCUCACCACCCCACCUGAUAUGUCUAUAUGACUUAGAUCAUCAGUGAAGCUCGAAGAUCUCCGAUACCACAUAGACAUCAAUACUUAAUACACAAACAAACAUUAGUCCAUACAUUAUCCCAAAUGUAUGAAUUCAAUUCCAUACCAUUUUCAUCAUACAGUAUCAUUUAAAACACGAUCCAGAACAUUCAAAAGUCUUAUUAACAUAAAAAAACAACACUUAAAUAUUAAACCAUCAAAAUCCAAUAUUUCUACAAGUUUAAAUAAUAUAUAAAUAAAAACACAAUAUAUAAACACGCAACAUCCCUACAAGAGAAAUUAAAUAUAUAGAUUACGUUCCCUUCACAUCCAGAUCUUCUAGCCUAGGUGCUAUUAAAAAUUUAAGUUAGCUUCCCUUACCUGAAAUUUCACUGAUAGAAAUUUCACCUCAAACAGAGGAACCACUCCAAAAUUUAGGAACCUAUAACAAGUUAUCCAAAUAUUACCAAAUUUUAGUUUAUAGUAAAAGAAGUUGAGAGGAACACUUUUCUCACUUGUCCCCAUCGGGAUUGAUGACUAAAUCACAGAGAAAAACCUAGAAUAGAAGAUCUUUAGAAUAAAAAUGAACUCACUUUGUUUGAAAAUCUGAUUGGCUAGAAAUCUAGCCUGACUCUUUAGCUACAGUAUGGCGUGAUCAGAUUUUGGAAUAGAUGAGAUAUGGGAGAGAAAAUGAAGAGAGAAGGGAGAGAUGAGAAGUUGGGAGAACUACAAAAAAAAAUAAGAAUCAUCUAUGAAUUUUUAACCACGAAUAUGAAUCCAUAGGUAAAUUCAGCAUUACCUACAGACAAUAUUAUCUACUAAUAUUACCCACAGAUCUGAAUUCGUAGGUAAAUUUAGCAUUACCUACCAAUUAUUACCCACAAAUCUCUAUUAUCUACCAACUAUAACGAAUCUCUAUUACCUACCAAUUAUUACCCACAGAUCUUUAUUACUAACAACUUUUAUCCAUAGAUUUCUAUUACCUACCAACUAUUACCUACAAAUCUCUAUUACCUACCAAUUAUUAUCAUAAUAAUUAUAUACAUAAUAUUUAAAAUAUUAUUAUAAUAUGAAUAAUUAUAAAAUUAUAACUAAUAUUCAUAAAUAAUAAUAAUCAUAGAUAUACAUAUUAUUAAUAUUAUAAAAUAAAUAAUAUUAAUAUAAUAAUAUAAAUAAUAUUAUUAGUAUUAUAUUAAUAAUAUGAAUAAUAUUAUUAUUAAUAAUAUGAAUAAUAUUAUUAUUAAUAAUAUGAAUAAUAUUAUUAUUAAUAAUAUGAAUAAUAUUAUUAUUAAUAAUAUGAAUAAUAUUAUUAUUAAUAAUAUGAAUAAUAUUAUUAUUAAUAAUAUUAAUAGUAUUAGCAAUAUUAAUAGUAUUAAUGAUAUUAAUAAUAUGAAUAAAAUUAAUCAUAUUAUUAAUAAUAAUAUUAAUAAUAUUUGUUAGUAUUAAUAAUAUUUGAUAGUAUUACUAAUAUUUGAUAGUAUUACUAAUAUUUGAUAGUAUUACUAUUAUUUGAUAAUAUUACUAUUAUUUGAUAAUAUUAGUAAUAUUUAAUAAUAUUAAUAAAUUAAUAAUAUUAGUAAUAUUUAGUAACAUUAAUAAUAUUAAUAACAUUAUUAUAAUAAUUAAUAAUGUUAUUAAUUUGAAUAAUAAUAAUAUUAAUGAAAUUAAUAAUAGAAAUGAUAUUAAAUAUAUGAAAUAUAUUAAUAAUAUUUAUAUUUUUAAUUAUAUUAAUAUUGAUAAUCAUUUUAAUAAGUAUAAUAAUAAUAUCAUGAUAACAAAAUUUGAUUGGUUUAAUGGUUGAAGAUUUUUUGGUCAUUCCUCAAUAAACUUGGUUUCGAGUCCCAAAUUGGGUUCUUUUUAAGAAAUUCAAUGAAAAUGUUUUUUACUUUUUGCUCUUGAAAAAUUGGCAAAUUGAACUUAUAUUUGCUACUAUCAAACAUCAAUAUUUUGUUCUUCCAUUUCAAACAUAGUCAAAUAUCAAUAAUUCAAUUAAAAUAAAAAUCAAAUAUCAAUAUUUUUCUAUUUCAAAAAUAUUAAACAUAAAUACCGCUACAAUAAACAUAGUUGGAGCAUUGAAAUGAAUAAAAAAUAAAAACUGAUUUUUUUUUUAAUCCAACUUGUCUUAUCAUUAUCAAGUCAACAUACAAACUUUUUUUAAAUAAGUCAGCGGACCAGCCAUUCCGCCCAACUGUUUGUACGCACAAACUCAAAUUAUGCAAGACGGAUUAAAGCGGAUCAGCAGAUUGAAAAAUGAAUCCAUCCAGCAUUUUUACUAGCGGGUUAUGAUUGCCCACCCACCCACUUUGCUAUCCCUAAAAAAAUUAUGAAGGAAGGGGUGGCGGCUGCUCUGUUGUGUUUUACGGGAUUUACACUUUAUGAAUCGUUAAACUUGCAUCCUUCCUAGAACUUUCACAUAAUUACUCACUUUAGUUUUUCAAACUUUUCAUGUGUGCCAACUUAACUUUGACCCUUUUUUUUCUAUGGAGGCAAAAGUAAAACUUAAUAAAUAAUGAAUCUAUUUUUUUCCCUUCAUUCUCUUCCAAUGCAAACAAGAAUUAUUGGUUUACAAGUGUGAAAAGAUGCACAAAAAUACUCAAAUUUUAUUUAUUUUACUUUAGACUUAUGUGUUGUCUUAAUUAAGAUAUUCUAGUUGCAUCCUUUUCUCACAAGGAAAUGGCAUGGCGGCAACCUGUUGAAGUGGCCAUAAAUGUUUUGUUUCCACAUAUCAAAUCACGUCUCCUUAUUAUAACGAAUGAUUGAAGGUAGUUGUCCCCACUACGUACUAACGGAUAAGGAAGUAUCUUUUUAGUGUGUACUGUUAAGAUAUCAGCACACUGCUAAUUUAACCCAUGCCUUGUUGCACUAUUAAAAUUUUCUUCUCAUUAUUCUCCCAUUAAUGUGUUUAGAUGAAGAAAAUAGAGCUUGAAUAGGAAUGGAUUGACCUUGAGGACUGAAGUGAAAACUGUUCAAAAAAUAGAAGGUGCUUUUGCAUCUAUUAUCAAAACCCAUCUUUCUUAUUAUUGUAGUCUUUUCCUUUCUUGCACAAUCACUUUCGUUAGUAUCUUCUUCAACCGCCUCAUUAUUGACAUAUAUUAAAGAUCUUUCUUCUCACUUGUGUUCAAAUGUUACAAAGAAAAUCGUAUAUAGUAGCAGAAACUUUACCAGAAUAAUCAACACUUAAGAGCUUAGAUAACAUCCCAAAAUAUUACAAGAAUAAUAAACUUCACAACUACUUAAGAUUGUUUAGCUAUCUUUGGCAGAACGAUCCAAAGUAAGCUCAUUAAUUCAUUACUACAAUAUUGAGAGUAGAUUGCAUUAUUUUCCUUUCAAGUUAUUUUCUAUAUCUUUAACAUUCACUUCUUAUUCAUGAUGGGAUGCAAUUGCCAUGAGAGGGAAUUUUCUGUGACUGCUCAACCCUGUAGUUUCAGUCAUGUCCAGUGUCUUAUCUCCCACUACUCCACUAGGCACUUCCCAAUUAAACUGAUGAACAAGGUUUGCUAGGACCAGCUCAAUCUCAUUCAUGGCAAACAUUAUUCCUGGACAACCCCUCCUUCCUGCUCCAAAUGGUAUCACUUCAAAAUCAUGUCCUUUCACAUCUAUUGAACUAUUUAAGAACCUCUCUGGUUCAAACUCUUCAGCUUUGUCCCAAUAAGAAGGAUCUCUUCCAAUUGCCCAAGCAUUCACUAUUGCUUGUGUACCAGCUGCAAUGUCAUAGUCCAUCACUUUUACAUCUUCCAUGGAUUCCCUUGGAAGCAACAAGGGACCUGGGGGAUGUAAUCGAAAACUUUCUUUAACCACUGCCUUCAAGUACUGCAUGCUACUUAGAUCUUCCUCUGUUAUGUGAGUUCUACCAUUAACCACAUUCCUUAUCUCACAUUUUAACUUCUGCAUCACAAUUGGGUACCUUAAGAGUUCUGUCAUUAUCCACUCUAGGAUUGAGGAGCUGGUGUCAGUACCUGCCACAAACAUAUCCUGAAAAAAAUACCCAUCAACUAUCAAUUUCAUUGUCUAUACCUUGAAUUUUCCAUGAACGAAAAUAAACUCAACAUGUAUUAAGAUUUUGUAGAUGUGAUUUAACUUUUGCUCAGAAAAGUAAGUAUAUAUAGCUUUUGCUAGAGAGAUAUUAGAAAACUAACUUAGUGUUUGACUCUGCAAUAGACUCUACUAUGAAGUGAAAUUCACGUAAGAUUUCUUAAACAAGAAGUAAAACCUAAUGAAACAGAUUCAUUCACUGAAACCCAAAUGAGUUCACCAACUAGUUUUCAAUCAAAGACAUAAUUUCUAAUAUUGUAUGAAUGUUAGACAUACAAAAUUAAAGACUAAGCCACUUUGAUUUUUAAGAUUUGUAAACGCUAGUCACCUUAUAAUAAAACUUCCACCAAACCUUUUGGUUUAGUCCCUAGCUGAUUUGUGAAAUCUCUAUUACUUUUAGUGUUUUCUCACAUCAUCUUUGACUUUAAGGAUUGAACUGCAUGAUGCUUCAGCAAAAUAAAGAUUCUAUUAAGUUAGAAAGUAGAGUAGCUGUCUAGAGAAUAUUAGGAACUAAUUAAUGAGGGAUAACACAUUUGUUCUAAUCUUGCAUACCAGGAUCAAAGCCUUUAUGGUUGUUCUAUCAAUCUCAAACCCCGUUGCGUUUUGCUCUUGGAUCCUCAGCAAAAUGUCAACGAAAUCAUUCUGCUCUUCAUCAUCAUCACCAUGCACAUGACGCACUCUCCUACUUACAUGCUCAUCAAGAACUUGAUCAAAAAAUUCAUCAAGCUGUUUAGCCACUCUCUUUGCCCUACCAUACAUUCCAUUAACGCUUCCCAACCAAUCAAGCCAAGGUAUGUAGUCCCCUAUAACUGAAGCACCCAACAGCUCCAUCAUCUCAUUCAUUGGCUCCCAAAGCUUACUCCCUCCUUCUCCACUGUAUCUCCUUCCGAGAGCAGCUCUACACACUAUGUCAUUUGUGAGUGUAGUAAAUAAAUAACUUAAAUUCACAGGCAUCAAAGAAGAACAACACUGUUUAAUCUCUUCCAUCAUUAGGGAGAUCUCUUCUUCUCUCACUGCACCAAAGGAUUGAACCUUUUUGGCACUGAGAAGAUGCAAGACACAAAUACUCCUUAUCUGCCUCCAGUAGUUGCCAUAUGGAGCAGAUGCCACAUCUUUGGAAUCAUAUAUGAUGAUAUCAGAGAUCUUUCGAUGUGGUCUGUUGCAGAAGAUGUGUUCUUGGGUUUUGAGAACCUCACAUGCUGCUUCAGCACUUGAGACAACAAGAACUGGCACCUUCCCAAAGUGAAGCAACAUUAAAGGGCCAUAGGUUUGAGCAAAGGAUUGGAGAGUGUGGUGAGGGAGGGGGCCAAGUUGGUGUAGGUUUCCUAUUAUUGGAAGCUUUGGAGGAGAUGGAGGUAGCUUUUUUGCUGAUUUGAACUUCAGUUUGGACAGAAGAUUGAAGAUGGUGCGAAAGGCUAGUAAGAUAAAGAAUGGUAGCAUGGGAAUGAAGAACCACAAGGGAAUGGUUCCAUUCAGAAAAUUCGUCAUUGGCUUCUGCUUCAAG
rnacentral:lncRNA from 1 species